UACGGGGGGGCAAGCGUUGUUCGGAAUUACUGGGCGUAAAGGGCUCGUAGGCCGCCAACUAAGUCAGACGUGAAAUCCCUCGGCUUAACCGGGGAACUGCAUCUGAUACUGGAUGGCUUGAGGUUGGGAGAGGGAUGCGGAAUUCCAGGUGUAGCGGUGAAAUGCGUAGAUAUCUGGAGGAACACCGGUGGCGAAGGCGGCGUUCUGGACUGUAACUGACACUGAGGAACGAAAGCCAGGGGAGCAAACGGG
rnacentral:rRNA from 1 species